rfam:Camelus ferus unplaced genomic scaffold scaffold471, whole genome shotgun sequence.
GGAAGGGUACAGCUCAGUUGUAGAGCACAUGCUUAGCAUACAGGAGGUCUUGGGUUCAAUCCCCAGCAUCUCCA